rnacentral:rRNA from 1 species
UGAAUACGAGAUGCUACGGCGUCGAAGCAGUCUAUGUCAUACUUCCAAGAAAAGCUUGCACUGUCAUAAACAAAUAAUGCCUGUACCAUAACCGACACAGGUGGGUAGGUAGAGUAUACUAAGGGGCGCGAGAUAACUCUCUCUAAGGAACUCGGCAAAAUGACUCCGUAACUUCGGGAGAAGGAGUGCCUUAUUUAUAAGGUUGCAAUAACAAGAUCCAAGCAACUGUUUACCAAAAACACAGGUCUCCGCUAAGUCGUAAGACGAUGUAUGGGGGCUGACGCCUGCCCAGUGCCAGAAGGUUAAAGAAGUUGGUUAGCAUCCGCGAAGCUGAUAACUGAAGCCCUGGUGAACGGCGGCCGUAACAAUAACGGUCCUAAGGUAGCGAAAUUCCUUGUCGGGUAAGUUCCGACCCGCACGAAAGGCGUAAUGAUUUGGAUACUGUCUCGGAGAGGGGCUCGGUGAAAUAGACUUGUCUGUGAAGAUGCGGACUACCUGCACCAGGACAGAAAGACCCUAUGAAGCUUUACUGUAACCUGAAAUUGAAAUUGGACUUUACUUGCGCAGUAUAGGUGGGAGGCGUUGAGAAUAUUCUUGCGGGAUUAUUGGAGCCAUCAGUGAGAUACCACUCUUGUAAUGUUAGAUUUCUAACUUUGUAUCAUUAUCUGGUCAAAGAACAGUUUCAGGCGGGCAGUUUGACUGGGGCGGUCGCCUCCUAAACGGUAACGGAGGCGCACAAAGGUUUCCUCUGAACGGGUAGAAAUCGUAUCUAGAGUGUAAAGGCAUAAGGAAGCUUGACUGUGAGACCUACAAGUCGAGCAGGGACGAAAGUCGGUCUUAGUGAUCUGACGGUGCUGAGUGGGAAGGCCGUCACUCAACGGAUAAAAGUUACUCUAGGAUAACAGGCUGAUCUCCCCCAAGAGUUCACAUCGACGGGGAGGUUUGGCACCUCGAUGUCGGCUCAUCGCAUCCUGGGGCGGUAGUACGUCCCAAGGGUUGGGCUGUUCGCCCAUGAAAGCGGUACGCGAGCUGGGUUCAGAACGUCGUGAGACAGUUCGGUCCAUAUCCGGUGUAGGCGUUAGAAUAUUGAGAUGAGCCUUCUUUAGUACGAGAGGACCGAGAAGGACAUACCUCUGGUGUACCAGUUAUCGUGCAACGGUAAACGCUGGGUAGCUAUGUGUGGAGUGGAUAACCGCUGAAAGCAUCUAAGUGGGAAGCCCACCUCAAGAUAAGUAUUCUCU